rnacentral:snoRNA from 2 species
GUCCCAAUGAGGAUCCCAAGACCUACCGAUAGGAAGUGCCGUUUGACCCUGUAAACAGCAGCUGCUUCUUUCAGCUGCAGGUGUCUAUCCUUCGACCAUAACCUUUGUGGUUUUGUCUAGGAUAGAGUCCCAUCUGUAGUUGUUUGAUUAAGCUGUGGUGUGUGAUUUAAAUCGGGUCUCUGAGGGGU